GGAGAGGUGGCCGAGUGGCUGAAGGCAGCUGCCUGCUAAGCAGUUGAAGGGGGUAAACUUCUUCCCCGGGUUCGAAUCCCGGCCUCUCCGCCA
rnacentral:tRNA from 1 species